GACGAACGCUGGCGGCGUGCUUAACACAUGCGAGUCGAACGGUGAAGCGCCUUCCUUUUUGGUGGGUGUGGAUGAGUGGCGAACGGGUGAGUAACACGUGAGUAACCUGCCCCCUUCUUCUGGAUAACCGCAUGAAAGUGUGGCUAAUACGGGAUAUUCUGGGUCUGUCGCAUGAUGGGUCUGGGAAAGAUAUUGUUUCGGUGGGGGAUGGGCUCGCGGCCUAUGAGCUUGUUGGUGGGGUGGUGGCCUACCAAGGCGGUGACGGGUAGCCGGCCUGAGAGGGUGGACGGUCACACUGGGACUGAGACACGGCCCAGACUCCUACGGGAGGCAGCAGUGGGGAGUAUUGCACAAUGGGCGCAAGCCUGAUGCAGCGACGCCGCGUGAGGGAUGGAGGCCUUCGGGUUGUGAACCUCUUUCGCCAGUGAAGCAGGCCUGCCUCGUUUGUGGGUGGGUUGACGGUAGCUGGAUAAGAAGCGCCGGCUAACUACGUG
rnacentral:rRNA from 1 species